rnacentral:lncRNA from 1 species
AUGUCGCUACUGUCGUCCUCGGCUACCGAGCUGUCCCAAUUCGCCGCCGACGCGCGGCUGCUCGUGUCGCCCGGGAACGGUGGGGGUGAAGGGGUGGUGGUAGGGGCGGAUGGGCUGAUCCCACGCUCCGGCGGCACGGUGUCCACCGUGGCCGCGAUGCUUGACUCGGGAGAGAUCCUGCCGGCGUCACGCGAGAAGGUCGUGUCCGUGCUCGCCGCGUUCGCGUCCUCGGACGCCACGGCCCACGUGCUGGUGGCGGGGGCCGUGGUGCCCCACCUCUGCCACGCGCUGGAGUCCGGCGGCGCCGACACCGAGCAGGCGUUCGUGGCGCUGCGCCCUCUCACCACGGACUCGCGGGACGCCGCAGCGGCCGUGGCCGCGCGUGGCGGGCUGGCCGCUCUCCUCGGCGCAGGCCGCGGCCGCGGGCGUGCUCCGCAACCUCGCCGCGUUCCCGGACCUCCUCCCGAUGUUCCGCGAGGAGGGCGUGCUCCCCUCGUCUCCCUCGGCACCCCGCGCGCGUUCGGCCUCCUCCGCAACAUGGCCUCCUUCCGCUACAUCGCCGAGAUAGCCGUCUCGGCCAGCUUCGUCGACCACGUCCUCGCCGCACUGAGCAGCGACAAGGCCGCCAUGCGCACGUUGGCCGCCAUGGCGCUCGCCGAACUCUGCAACGCCUCCAGCCACGGCCAGACACGCGGGGACGUCGGCGACGCCGUCCCGCGCCUCAUCUGGAUGCUCAAGGCCAAGGCAGGCAGGGACGUCGCCAAGAGGGACGCCGCGGCGAGGGCGCUUGCCGCACUCGUCGCAGCGAGCAGCUACAAAAAAUUUUCAAGAAAGAGGAGCAAGGCAUCAUCAAUGUCGUCCAGCUGCUCGACCCGAGCACCGCCCGCGGCGGCAUUGACGCGUGGUUCCCGGUGUCCGUGCUGCUCGCAGUCUCGCCGUCCCGGCCGCCCGUGGCAGCGUCGAUGCCGGAAGCAGAUAGUGGCCGCCGGCGCGUGCUGCUUCCUGCAGGGCCUCCUCGGCGCGGAGGUCGACGGCGCCAAGAGGCUCGCCGACUGUGUCCGUGCUGCUCGCCGUCUCACCGUCCCGGCGGUGUCGGAAGCAAAUGGUGGCCGCCGACGCGGCCUCCUCGCUGCGGAGGUCGACGACGCCAAGAAGCUCGCCAAAUGCGUCGCCAUAGGCAAUAUGCUCGGCGUGUUCCCGCGGUCUUGACACGGCCCCC